rnacentral:lncRNA from 10 species
AUGAACUAAUGGAGCUGAAAAAGACAGCACAAGAACUUUGUGAAGCAUACACAGGUAUCAAUAGCCAAAUUGAUCAAACAGAAGAAGGAUAUCAGGGAUUGAAGAUCAACUUAAUGAAAUAAAGUGUGAAGACAAGAUUAGAGAAAAAAGAAUGAAAAGGAAUGAACAAAGCCUCCAAGAAAUAUGGGACUAUGUGAAAAGACCAAACCUACGUUUGAUUGGUGUACCUGAAAGUGACUGGGAGAAUGGAACCAAGUUGGAAAUGGAGAGGAUGUGGAGAAAUAGGAAUGCUUUUACACUGUUGGUGGGAGUGUAAAUUAGUUCAACCAUUGAGGAAGACAGUGUGGCGAUUCCUCAAGGAUCUAGAACCAGAAAUACCAUUUGAACCAGCAAUCCCAUUAGUGGGCAU